rnacentral:rRNA from 1 species
AUUGAACGCUGGCGGCAGGCCUAACACAUGCAAGUCGAGCGGAGCGGCGGACGGGUGAGUACUGCCUAGGAAUCUGCCUGUUAGUGGGGGAGAACGUCCGGAAACGGGCGCUAAUACCGCAUACUAUCAGAUGAACCUAGGGCGGAUUAGCUAGUUGGUGGGGUAAAGUCCUACCAAGGAGAAGGUCCGUAACUGGUCUGAGAGGAUGAUCAGUCAAACUGGAACUGAGACUCGGUCCAGACUCAGACGGGAGGCAGCAGUGGUGAAUAGUGGACAAUGGGUGAAAGCCUGAUCCAGCCAUGCCGCGUGUGUGAAGAAGGUCUUCGGAUUGUAGAGCAAUUUAAGUUGGGAGGCGUUACCAACAGAAUAGGCACCGGUUAACUUCGUGCCAGCAGCCGCGGUAAUAC